AGAUGCAGAAAUUAAACAUAAAACCAGUCUCUGCCUCCUCCUCCUCCUCCUCCUCCUCCUCCUCCUCGUUCACUCCUCUUACCGAUCUCUUUUUCUCCCUCACCAUUCUCAGAUCUGUAACCUCGUUUAUUAAAAAAUUUCCAGCAGUUUCAGGAAAUAUGGAUUAGUUGAUACUCGUUAUUAACCUUGUGUAUCUCUCUCUAUCAGAUCCGAUUGGAUUCAUGAUGAGGUUUUUUAAAAGAUAGUCAGAAGAGAACUGGAGAUUUCGAUGAGCUACAACUUUCUUUUGGUUUGGGAGAUCGCGAGGAGGAACAAUGCUUUCAUCCGUGAAAAGUUUGGAAACAUAAAUCAAAUGAUUCAGGUUAGCAAACUCAAAAUACUGUUUCAGUUCAUGGAAAAGGUUAAGGUGUUGAUCAAACACCUGAAUUCUACUGGAAGACAUUUCUCACCACCUGCAAGUGAUGAAACUCUACUGGAAGAAGGUGACAUCUUACAGAUGACAUGAAGUCUUAUGUUUGGCUACAAACUUCUGGUGGUUCAAUUCAGCAAGUAGAAGAAGAGGUUGCUAUGUUCAGCUCAAUGAUUUGCCGGGAAGUGCUAUAAAAUAGCAUGGGAAUCAACGAAAAACUGCCAUGCUUCACUUACCCAACGAGUAAAUUAAGGAGGAUUGAGAAGUUGGAGCCUUUAAGAAACUCAGCUGAUGAUCCACGAAUCAGGAUGCUCAAUUUACAUUCAUUUUCGGAAGCCUUCAGGUCUGAACUUUUUAGGGAUUGUUGCUUCCCCUGGAUAGAAAUCUGUAUGAUAUAGUAAAUCCAUUACUAUUUUGGGUUAUCAAUUUACUAGUUUGCAUAUGUUGGUUGUUUCAUAAAUUUUGAAGAUGCUAUGCAUGUUUUCAUCCUUGUGCUGUCAACUGCCGGAAGAAGAAGUGUGGACACGAAAACCAGGUAUCUUCUUACACACCUUCAAUAAUGACCAAGAUGGAUGUUCUGAUCUUGAGUAUAUGAGGUCCUAGUUACUUAGAUCCUCCUCAUGUUGAUAAGGUAUCUUCUUACACACCUUCAAUUAUGACCAAGAUGGAUGUUCUGAUCUUGAGUAUAUGAGGUCCUAGUUACUUAGAUCCUCCUCAUGUUGAUAAGGAAGUAGUGUAUACUCUUAAUAGUAUGAGCCACUUCGAUGGGCAGGAAUGAUAACAAACAUGAAAAAUACAAGUUUGUCAAAGUAUCAGCACAGGUAUGUCAGUGAAGGCGAGUUACACUGCUGGAGUUAUAAUGUGUCCAAACAUUGAGGGCGUUUUCAAUUCUAAGUGUAUUUUCCUCUCUAGAGGGAAAGAACCGGAGAUUUGGAAUAUCAUCAAGUUUGGAACUGUGUUGGAAAAUGUGGUUUUCGAGGAGAAUACUCAUGAAGUAAAUGAAAGAGAUAAAUCCAUUACAGAGAUGCACACUCCAGGUGAAGGUGUUCCAUUAAGAGACCUUGGAUCUAAUCAUUCAUUCCCGUUGUGAGAGCUUCGCUAAGUAAAGAUUCAGACUCUCAGCAGUCAGUAGUGAAGAUCCAGACUCGCAGCAGAUAAUCACCGCUUAGGCCAGUGGAUGAUCAUGGUUAACUGUUGACUGAAAAAGCUGUACUUGUAUCACGUAAGGGAUGCCUUGCAGCUAGAUAAUGCAAUGUAUAAACUAAUCAUCAAAUUUCCGAAAAGGGAAGCAGAACAAUGCUUUGUGACUGAAUUCUUACAAACAUAUUGUGCCCUUCAACUGGUCAGAAAGAUUUUAUCGAUGAUUCGAACAUUUUGAGAGAUCAUCAUUCUUAAGAUUCCUUGGCGAGAUCACUGAAACAAAAUGGUUUUGACGUGGUAGAAACCAAUGUGUACUGCAAGUAAAAUCCCUGAAAGAAUUUUACGAAUAGAUUCGAGUUUUUUGUGUGAACUAUGUAAGCUUAUCCCUGUAAGAAUAUCCCAGUUUGUUGUUUUGGAUACCUUUUCAGUAACCUUGUUAACGUCUAUUUUUACGAGGAUAAAACCAUUUUUCCUAGAUUCUAAGUGGUCUUACUGCAUUUGGAAUGGGUGUGCUAUUAUCUCAACUGGGAUAUGGAUUUGAGAUGUGAAAUGUACUAUGGUUGUAUUGCAAAAUUC